CCCCCAGCGACCUCCCAGGUGUCUGACCGCAUGGCCAUGCUGGUGGGCGGGGUGCUGAGUGCCUUGGUGCUCCUUGACCCCCCUUGACCCCCCUUGACCCCUCGUGACCCCGCAGCGACCUCCCAGGUGUCUGACCGCAUGGCCAUGCUGGUGGGCGGGGUGCUGAGUGCCUUGGUGCUCCUUGACCCCCCUUGACCCCCCGUGACCCCCCAGCGACCUCCCAGGUGUCUGACCGCAUGGCCAUGCUGGUGGGCGGGGUGCUGAGUGCCUUGGUGCUCCUUGACCCCCCGUGACCCCCCGUGACCCCGCAGCGACCUCCCAGGUGUCUGACCGCAUGGCCAUGCUGGUGGGCGGGGUGCUGAGUGCCUUGGUGCUCCUUGACCCCCCUUGACCCCCCUUGACCCCCGUUGACCCCCCUUGACCCCCCGUGACCCCCCAGCGACCUCCCAGGUGUCUGACCGCAUGGCCAUGCUGGUGGGCGGGGUGCUGAGUGCCUUGGUGCUCCUUGACCCCCCUUGACCCCCCGUGACCCCCCAGCGACCUCCCAGGUGUCUGACCGCAUGGCCAUGCUGGUGGGCGGGGUGCUGAGUGCCUUGGUGCUCCUUGACCCCCCUUGACCCCCCGUGACCCCCCGUGACCCCCCGUGACCCCGCAGCGACCUCCCAGGUGUCUGACCGCAUGGCCAUGCUGGUGGGCGGGGUGCUGAGUGCCUUGGUGCUCCUCGCGGUUGUGGCCGCCGUGGCGGUGUGCUGCUGUCGUCACAACAAACACAGCACACACCAAGGGGUCCCCCUCACGGCCUUCCCCGCGGGGGGCACGCCCCUCUCCCCCUACGACGACGAGGAGGGUGGGGGGGGGGCCCCCCCCUACCGCCCGGGGCUCGUGGCGGGGGGGGAGGAGGCGGGGGGGGACGAAGGGGGGGGGGGGCGGCCGCCUGUUUGGACUUCCCUCCUAUGAGGAUGUCGUGGCCGAGGUGCAGAGAGAGCGCCUCGAGGCGGGGGGGGGGGCCAGCCCCCCACCGCAGUACCCCGGACAUCCCCAGGACCUCAUUCCAACGGCACCUCCCGUUGAAGAUGCUGCGCUAUCUCACCCGUGUCUCUCCGGAGACACGGACAGAGACACGGACAGGGACACGGACAGAGACACGGACAGAGACACGGACAGAGACACGGACAUUCCCUCGGGACCACCCUCAAUGCAGAGAGUCUGAGUCUCCGCGUGUCUCUCUGUGUCCGUGUGUCCGUCUAUCUCAACGAGUCCGAGUGAAUAUCUGAAUGGGUGGGUGAGUGAGCGGGUGAGUGAGCGGGUGAGUGAGCGGGUGAGUGAGCGGGUGAGUGAGCGGGUGAGUAGGUGAGUGAGCGGGU